AUAUGUACAUGCCUACAACGUUAAUGCAUCAGAUCCUAUUAGAACUUCAUAGUUAAGCAUGCUUGAUAUAGAGUAGUACUGUAAUGGGUGACGUCCUGAAAGACCUAGUGUUUUACAUGUU
rnacentral:rRNA from 1 species